AUUGAACGCUGGCGGCGUGCCUAACACAUGCAAGUCGAGCGGUAACAGGUGUAGCAAUACAUGCUGACGAGCGGCGGACGGGUGAGUAACGCUUGGGAAUCUGCCUAUUAGUGGGGGACAACCCGGGGAAACUCGGGCUAAUACCGCAUACGCUCUACGGAGGAAAGCCGGGGACCGCAAGGCCUGGCGCUAAUAGAUGAGCCCAAGUCGGAUUAGCUAGUUGGUAGGGUAAGGCCUACCAAGGCGACGAUCCGUAACUGGUCUGAGAGGACGACCAGUCACACCGGAACUGAGACACGGUCCGGACUCCGUACGGGAGGCAGCAGUGGGGAAUAUUGGACAAUGGGCGAAAGCCUGACUCCAGCGACGCCGCGUGGGUGAAGAAGGCCU
rnacentral:rRNA from 1 species